GAGGAUAUAGCUUAGCGGUAGAGUGCAUGCCUAGCAUGCAUGAGGUCCUGGGUUCAAUCCUCAGUACCUCCA
rnacentral:tRNA from 1 species